AGCGAACGCUGGCGGCAUGCUUAACACAUGCAAGUCGCGCGGGUGGUUUCGGCCAUCCGCGGCGGACGGGUGAGUAUCGCGUAGGAAUGUAUCCCGAGGUGGGGGACAACCCUGGGAAACUGGGGCUAAUACCGCAUGGGGCCUGUGGGUCAAAGCCUUAGGGCGCCUUGGGAGCAGCCUGCGUCCGAUUAGGUAGUUGGUGGGGUAAAGGCCUACCAAGCCUGCGAUCGGUAGCUGGUCUGAGAGGACGAUCAGCCACACUGGGACUGAGACACGGCCCAGACCCCUACGGGAGGCAGCAGUGGGGAAUAUUGGACAAUGGGCGCAAGCCUGAUCCAGCAAUGCCGCGUGGGUGAAGAAGGUCUUCGGAUUGUAAAGCCCUUUCGGCGGGGACGAUGAUGACGGUACCCGCAGAAGAAGCCCCGGCUAACUUCGUG
rnacentral:rRNA from 1 species